UUCCAGCAGGAUCACACAGACC
rnacentral:piRNA from 1 species